ACCUUUGUGCUCUUUUCCCCCUGCAAGGAUGAAGAUCCCACCAGCAGCUCCCUGGACCAACCCCAGAGCAGCAGGGGAUGGGGCAGGACCUGACAGCGGGCUCAGCCUCCUGCAAGCUGCACUGAAGACCAGGGAUUUCAGACCAGCUUUUCCUUCAGCAACAUCUCCUGACAUGAGGUUGCACUCGGCUCUCUGAUACAAAGCCUGGUUCCAUUCCCAGCAAACCAAACCUGGACACAGCCUCUUCCCUCCUGCCGUGCCUUGGGAGCGACUGGGAACGACUCUCCCAGGAAGAGCAGAGGUUUUCCUCCCUAAUGAAGAAACCUUUCCAUGCACGAACGCCCCUCUCC